GAUGAAGGAACGUAGCGAAAUGCGAUAAGUAAUGUGAAUUGCAGAAUUCAGUGAAUCAUCGAAUCUUUGAACGCACAUUGCGCCCCCUGGUAUUCCGGGGGGCAUGCCUGUUCGAGCGUCAUUACAACCCUCAAGCUCUGCUUGGUAUUGGGCCCCGCCAGUUCUGGCGGGCCCUAAAGUCAGUGGCGGUGCCUUCCGGCUCCGAGCGUAGUAAUUCUUCUCGCUCUGGAGACCCGGUUGUGUGCUUGCCAACAACCCCCAAUUUUUUAAGGUUGACCUCGGAUCAGGUAGGGAUACCCGCUGAACUUAAGCAUAUCAAUAAGCGGAGGA
rnacentral:misc_RNA from 1 species